AUCAACGCUGGCGGGCGUGCCUCAGACAUGCAAGUCGAACGACUCAAAGCUCCCUUCGGGGAGUGCAUAGAGUGGCGCCGCGGGUGAGUAACACGUAAAUAAUCUACCCUCGAGUGGGGAAUAACGUCCGGAAACGGGCGCUAAUACCGCAUAAUGCAGCGGCACCGCAAGGUGACAGUUUGUUAAAGAUUUAUUGCUUGAGGAGGAGUUUGGGCAGAUUAGCUAGUUGGUAAGGUAAUGGCUUACCAAGGCUACGAUCUGUAUCCGGUCUAAGAGGACGGUCGGACACACUGACACCGAAUAACGGGUUCAGACUCCUACGGAGGGCAGCAGUCGGGAAUUUUGGGCAAUGGGGGAAACCCUGACCCAGCAACGCCGCGUGAAGGAUGAAGUUUUUCGGAAUGUAUACUUCGAAAGAAUAGGAAGAAUCAAUGACGGUACUAUUUAUAAGGUCCGGCUAACUACGUGCCAGCAGCCGCGGUAAUACGUAGGGACCAAGCGUUGUUCGGAUUUACUGGGCGUAAAGGGCGCGUAGGCGGCGUGGUAAGUCAGUUGUGAAAUCUCCGAGCUUAACUCGGAACGGCCAACUGAUACUGCUGUGCUAGAGUGCAGAAAGGGCAAUCAGAAUUCUUGGUGUAGCGGUGAAAUGCGUAGAUAUCAAGAGGAAUACCUGAGGCGAAGGCGGGUUGCUAGGCUGACACUGACGCUGAUGCGCGAAAGCCAGGGGAGCAAACGGGAUUAGAUACCCCGGUUAGUCCUGGCCCUAAACGAUGAAUACUUGGUGUCUGGAGUUUCAACACUCGGGUGCCGUCGCUAACGUUUUAAGUAUUCCGCCUGGGAGUACGGUCGCAAGACUGAAACUCAAAGGAAUUGACGGGGACCCGCACAAGCGGGUGGAGCAUGUGGUUUAAUUCGACGCAACGCGAAGAACCCUUACCUGGACUAGAAUGUGAGGGAAGUUCGCUUAAUGGCGAGCGUCCGGGCAACCGGACCCAAACAAGGUGCUGCAUGGCUGUCGUCCAGCUCGUGUCGUGAGAUGUUGGGUUAAGUCCCGCAACGAGCGCAACCCCUAUUGACAGUUGCCAAUAUUAAGUUAGGAACUCUGUCAGACUGCUGUUGAUAAAACGGAGGAAGGUGGGGAUGAUGUCAAGUCAUCAUGGCCUUUAUGUUCAGGGCUACACACGUGCUACAAUGGAUGGUACAAACGUCGCAAAUCUCGUAAGAGGGAGCUAAUUCGCAAAAACCAUUCUCAGUUCGGAUUGGAGUCUGCAACUCGACUCCAUGAAGUUGGAAUCGCUAGUAAUCGCAAAUCAGCAUGUUGCGGUGAAUACGUUCCCGGGUCCUUGUACACACCGCCCGUCACAUCACGAAAGUAGGUUGUACUAGAAGUGGCCGGACCAACCCGCAAAGGGGGGUAGGUUACCACGGUAUGAUUUAUGAUUGGGGUG
rnacentral:rRNA from 1 species